GACGUAGGGGGCGAGCGUUGUCCGGAUUCACUGGGCGUAAAGCGCGCGUAGGCGGUCCGCUAAGUCGGAUGUGAAAACCCGGGGCUCAACCCCGGGCCUGCACCCGAUACUGGCGGGCUGGAGGAAGGUAGGGGAGAGUGGAAUUCCCGGUGUAGCGGUGAAAUGCGCAGAUAUCGGGAGGAACACCGGUGGCGAAGGCGGCUCUCUGGGCCUGUCCUGACGCUGAGGCGCGAAAGCUAGGGGAGCAAACAGG
rnacentral:rRNA from 1 species